rnacentral:misc_RNA from 1 species
GCAGGAGUUAGGACGGUGGCAACAGCUGAUGGGUUGAGGUGCUGUGGCAGGGAGUCUGGGGACGUGAUCAACUGUAUUUGCUCUACUCUCAUCGGCAAGAUGUCACUCACGUGCUUUACUAAGUCAACAAGACCCUUUGAAGGCCAAAAACCUGGUACCAGUGGACUAAGGAAGGCUGUCAAAGUCUUUCAGCAGGAAAAUUACACUGAAAACUUUGUACAAUGUAUCCUAAGUGCCAUGGGUGGUUCCUUGACGGGCUGCACACUUGUGGUUGGUGGUGACGGCCGCUUCUUUGGAAAGGAAGCUGUGGAUAUUAUCAUCAAGAUGUGUGCAGCAAAUGGGGUGCGGAAAGUGAUUGUAGGUCACGAUGGCAUCCUGUCAACACCAUGUGUGUCUUGUGUGAUCCGGAAAUACAAAACUGCUGGUGGUAUUGUCCUUACUGCCAGCCACAACCCAGGUGGACCAAAUGCUGACUUUGGCAUUAAGUUUAAUAUCUCUAAUGGAGGUCCUGCUCCGGAUGGUGUCACCAAUGCUAUAUAUGAUCUCAGCAAACACAUUGUGGAGUACAGAAUAUGUCCUGAAGUCAAGUGCAAUAUUUCUGUAAUUGGAAAGCAAGAGUAUGUGGUUGACUCUCGGCCAUUUACGGUGGAGGUGAUUGAUUCUGUUAAUGACUACGUGGAAUACAUGAAGGAGAUAUUUGACUUCGGCAUCAUUAAAGACCUUAUUCGUGGAGCCUCAGGAACGCCUCUCAAAGUUCUUAUCAAUGCAAUGCAUGGAGUGACUGGACCGUAUGUUCGCCGCAUCUUCUUGGAAGAACUUGGAGCCAGCGCUGAUAGUGCUGUCAAUAUUGAACCUUUGGAAGACUUUGGAGGUCACCACCCAGACCCCAACUUGACAUAUGCAGCUGACCUGGUUAAGGCCCUCAAGGAAGGAGAGUAUGGCUUUGGUGCAGCCUUUGAUGGAGAUGGAGACCGCAACAUGAUCCUGGGCCACAAGGCUUUCUUCGUGACUCCCUCAGACUCGGUAGCAGUUAUUGCAGACAACACUGACUAUAUUCCUUACUUCAAAAAGCAUGGUGUAAAAGGAUUGGCUCGCAGUAUGCCCACAGGCUGUGCUAUUGACAGGGUUGCUGAGAAGAAGGGGAUGGAGGUGUUUGAAGUUCCAACUGGCUGGAAAUAUUUUGGAAACCUGAUGGAUGCUGAUCGACUCUCCAUCUGUGGUGAGGAGAGCUUUGGAACUGGAAGUGACCACAUUCGUGAGAAAGACGGCAUAUGGGCAGUGCUGGCAUGGUUAUCCAUUUUAGCUGGUCGCAAAAUGUCUGUAGAACAGGUCCUGCUGAGUCAUUGGGACACAUAUGGCAGAAACUUCUUCACCAGAUAUGAUUAUGAGAACUGUGAGAGUGAACCUUGUAAUAAAAUGAUGGCUGUCUUGGAUGCCAUGGGUAGUGACAAAUCCAUGGCAGGGAAAAAACUCUCUUAUGGAGAUAAGACUUACACUAUUGCCAAGAUUGAUAAUUUUGAGUACCGGGAUCCCAUUGAUGGUACUGUGGCAAAGAAUCAGGGCGUUCGCAUAUUAAUGAGUGAUGGGUCACGUGUUGUGUUCCGGCUGAGUGGCACUGGCAGUUCAGGUGCCACGGUCCGUUUGUAUAUCGAGAGCUACGAGUCAAAUUCCUCUACUUUUACAAAGAAUGCACAGGAAGUCUUGAAGCCUCUGGUUGAAAUUGCUCUCCAGUUAUCCAAGCUUACAGAAUUCACUGGACGCACCCUGCCCACCGUAAUCACCUAGAUACUUUGUGACAAUUUGGCCCUGGGAAAAAAAACCUCCUCAGUGAAUCCACAGUAUUUGAAAGUUCAUCACUGUGGCUGUGGAGGAAUAAGUGACAGUAGACUUUGGCAACAGAGGUCAAUAAUCUAUCUUGGUAUCCAGGACAGUUAAAAGAAAACUCAGUCACACAAUUAAGGAUACAAUCUUCAAUAAAAUAUUAGAUAUUGUACAAACCAAAACUUGAUCUGUUACAAAUGUUGAAAUUAUAUUAAGGUUUAUCAUAUAAUGUAAAAAAAAAUUACCAAAGAACUAUUACAAUUUUAUAUUUUGGGCUUCCUAUACUGCACUAUAUCCAGCCAGUGUGAACUGCUAGUCAUACAAAACUGCCGACUGUAGUCAUGAGAAACAUUGUGAUAUGCAAUAAAAGUUUAAUGUUUUAUAAUUAAACAUACUUAAAAAAAUUAUUUGAGAGAUAGGUGUGGAAGAUUGGGUAUGUAUUCAGUACGAGUGUAUGACAAAAUACUUUCAAGAUUUGUCUAAAAUAUGUUUUUGUUAAAAAGUCUUGAAUGUAAUUUUAAUCUAUUACCUAAUUUAUUAUUCAACUUAUUAUACUGUAUAUCUUUAAAAAAGGUCGGCUUCAUCCUUUCAUUAGUACAGGACAGGGAAAAAAAUUAAUUUAAUAUUUCCUGACAAGGGUGACUGAGAAUAACUCAUUGAUUGUAUUAGGGAGCACUUGAUAAAACAUGUCUUACAUAUGUCAGUCAGGUCAGGAAUUUGGCUGACUAAACUUAAUUAAAAAAAAUUGGUAUUUUAUUCUCCCAGUCAUGAAAGAUUCUGAUACUGUAUGAGUAUUAAGUUUAUUGUUGUCAAAAUGGAUCUAACUAUAUUUUUUCUAGGUGUACUCUACUGUACAUCUGAAAAAUAUUCACAAUUUUCAGUAUCAAACAUAUUUUAUUACUAUUUUAGUUUAACAUUUUAGCCAUGUUCUCCACUUAUACUGUACUGUAUUAUAUACUUUAAGUGACCAUGACAUGUUGGAUACCACACUAGUUUCCUGAUCAGUAAGGUAGAACAUCAUUUGGUUCUGUGAUAUUUCUCGGGUCAUUAUGGUAAACCAUCUGGUGGUAACUCGGACAAGAAGUUAUGCCAAGGGUUCAGCAUUUCUUAUUUCACCUAGACCCUCGCCGUAAGAAAGAUUUUAUUUUUUCUUUCAGCAAUGAUUCCAGCCCCCAUGUUAACCAAUUUUUCAUGCAUGGUCCUGAAAUUUCAAAAACUUUUGUUACUGAUCCUUUCAGGUGUACACAUUAUAUUGGGUACCAAAGUAAGCUUCCUUGAAAAUUUUAGAGAAGUUUUCUGAACAGUGAGAAAUCAUACUGAAUAUUUGUUUUUUGAUGACAAAAGAUGAAGCAAAUAUUCAUUCACCAUAAUGCUUUGGCUACCAUUGGCCUUCAUAAAAAAAAAGGUCAUCCAUUAGCAUAGCUAGGGGGGGGCGGUCCGCCCCGGGCGGCACACACACUAGCUACGCCACUGAGGUCAUCCAACUGUUUUUGUGUUGUGCCUACUUGUGUUGCUGCUACUAAAGAGUUACUAGGGCAGGUAUGUUCCCAAACACUGGUACACACUCAUUGCUGUGCCUCUGCUGCUGGCAGUAUUUUGUAGCAAUAAAAUGUUGAAUAUU